CAAAUAGGUCCAAAAAUCUAUCUAUCUAGCUUUGUCAGGGUUUGAAUCUGAUGUGAGAAGCUACAGGAAGCCGGUGUAGAGAACGCAGCAGAGGAGCUACAGGACUAAAAUUAGAAUGAUUUAAGACGAAGUUGAGCUGGGUCCCGAUAGCACACAUAGCAAGACCAGCCAUGAGGGAAGUUGAAGGAGUCAAGACUUGAGCUGACACUUAUGUAUGAGUGUAUCAUUGUUUCAGUUGGUAAGACAUUAAAUCACACAGGGCCGCGUGCACUCUUGUGACUUUUUGUUCCAUUUCAGUGUGGUUAAAAUGUAGAACCUCUGAGCUUUCGGAUGAACAGCUGCAGUUUCUUUAGUGGUUAAACUUUCCGCCAUUCAGGGUCUACUCUGAAAGCAGACCGCAGAGAGAAUCACUCCCUAUUCUGCUCUAGUGUCACGCUUCAGCAGGGGUGGACUCAGACUGUCUGAAAGGCACGAGUGAAAAAAUAACCGGGCUUCUACUUUCUACAGGAGGUGUGGCCAAAACUGAAAACAUAAAUGGAUCAAAAAAUGCAAAAUGAUCAGCGUGGAUUUUUCAAAGUCACAGAAGGAAAACUAUUUUCAGUGGAUUAAUGAAACUGCUGAUCAGGGUGAAACUGUUGUUUUACACUGUAAUGGAAGUGAGGAUAGUGAAGGAGAUUUUGUUUGGAAAAAGGAUGGGAAUCUUCUUUUUAACUACAGCCCCUUUCUUAACCAAACUGUAACAAACUACACAUCAAGCAGGAUGAGUGUAGAUUCCAGUGAUCCAUGGAAACUACAGAUAUCUAACGUUCAGCCUUCAGAUUCAGGAACCUAUCUAUGCUUCCCAUCAAAAAUUAUAUGGAUUUUGACUAUAAAAGUCAGUGAACCAAGUAAACCAAAGCAGUCUACAGAUCUGCACAUGUACAUCAUACCCUCAGUAACAGGAGCUGUCGCAAUAUUCUUUAUUAUCUUCGGCACUGUGUGGAUUCAAAGGAGAUGGAGAAGGAAUUAGGCUGCUGGAAAUAGAGGAACAAGGAAUACGCUUACAGGAGUGCACCAGAAUGAGCCUCAAUAAAGCUUCCACAAGAAGAUACA
rnacentral:lncRNA from 1 species